CCAAAACCAAACGAAAAUCAAAGAUAUAAAUUAAACAUUAUAAACAUAGAAUAAAAAAAGUUUCGAAGUCGCCAAAAACCUCAGCAGUCACAACUACUUAUCCUGCCGCAAAAACCAAGCGCAGCCGGAGAUAAUCUCGCCGGCGAAAUCGAAUGGCGGUGGCGCUGCCAAUAUUUCCACUAUCAUCCACCGUUCGAGCUUCCUCUGUCGACACUGAACAGCGCCUCCCUUACAACCGCCAGUGCACUUAUCCGAAGAUACCAGAAGCUCUGACAUCGGCAUCACCAUCUACUCCAGCCAAAAAAAAGGCAAAAAUAUCCAUUUCAGAUAUCCUCAAUCGCAAUAUUUUGAAAUCAGCUACUCACGCUCUAUGCUCGCAGGCACUUUUUGUUUCCCCCCGCUAAAUAUUGAAGAAUAUAAUGACCGAGUGAUGGCUGUAGUACGUUGUGAGGCCCAGGGAUGUGCUGCGUUGGGGGAAAAAUAUUGGUUCCUCCAAAACGAGGACGAAGAAGAGAGCAGGUGUGGCAGUUUACAACAGAGCAUCUUCGUUGGAGGCACUUGUAAAUUUCUUCUAUCGUCUACUUUCACUAAAUCCUUAAGUGUCUCUUGCAUUUAGUCCCUAGUACUAUUAUCGUUUCCCAUCCAAUGUCCUUUUAAAUUUUGUAAAUCCUAAAGCAUUAUCAUGCAGAAGAGUGGCGAUAUUUGGUCUUCUGUGUUUUCCUCGCACUAUGUUCUUAUCAUGUGUUGAAUAUUGAUGGACUUUCUGCUGGGCUGGUUUUUUAUUUGUUGGCAUAUAAGUGUUGGGCUAGGCCCAAAUGCCUUACCUCUUGCUCCAGAUGCUGCCACGUGGUCUCUCACUCAGAUCCUGUCCCUGAGCCGUUGGAUUGUGAGUGUGUUUGUUAUUGAGUAGUCAAGUGUGGGUGGUGGUAAAGGCAACUACUUCGGUUGCUGAGUAUUGUGAGAAUCUAGGGUUUGGUGUGUGAGAUUUCCUGAGUGAGUUGGUGCUUGGCGCUUCCAGAUCCGGUGUGGUUGAGUUGUGUGGUGUUGUUACCUGCGGUGAGAGGUCGAUCUCUUGUCAGUUUCAACGGUGCUCCCUUGGAUUGGUUUCUGGUUGAAUAGAUCUUGUUAGUGGCGGGUUUCUGAGCCAUCUUUUGAUCUAUUCAGUUUCUCUCUUGUGUCUUGUGAUGAAAGGAUUGUGUAUGUUGUUUCUGAUCCGAGAGGAUCUUGUUUGUUAUCACUAAUCCGUUUAUUCAGUGUGCAGGCUUCUUAGGAGGACUUUGUUGAUACUUCAAGAACCCUAGAUUAGCAUAUUAACUACGGUUGUAAUAGUUAAUUGAUCUUUGGUUGUAAUCUUGAUUAAUUCAACAAAAUCAGUCGCAUGGUUAGAGUUUGACUGAGCUCUCCUAAUGAAGAACAAAGAGGUCUUGGUAAAUAGUGAAUCCGCGCCUAAUCUGAUCCCUACAUCAUGCUUUGGUCAUAUGUAGGUUACUUGUAUCUUACAAAUGUUCAACGGCUAGAUGAGAUCAUGGAAAGAAUAGGCUUUUCAACUGAUACUUCUACCGACUUAGAACAAGGGAAAGGAAACGUUAACAACAACACCGAUCUUCCCAAGAUAUGACUAACCCAUGAAAGGAACUCCAGCGAGCCUUUCGCAUCAUGUUCUCCUAGUGAACUCCAGUUGCUCCUCGCUGAUUGCUCGCUGUGACGUGUAAAACGAAAGGUCCCUUGCAACAAAAGCCAAAAGGCCAAUUAAAGAGAGCAAGUAAAGACUGUAACUGGGCCGGAAUUCUUGAUCGGGUACUUGAUUACUAUCCCCUUAUUAUAAAUGGUUCACAUAAAUUUAUUAAAAAAUGAUGGAUAUAGGGUCCCAACGAAAGAUGCCUAAAGUUCGGGCCAAAUAUGUUUAUCCAUUUCGCAGAUGAGGUGGGUCUCGUGUGAGAUCGACUUGACUGCUGGGUCGACUACAUUUAGUGUAGAGGUCCAGCUUGAAAGUGUAUUUGGUUGGCUCCUUUUCUUCCCCUUACAAACAUGUUACAUCUCAAUGUUUAUUUUUUCUCAUUAAUAGUUUGAUAUUUCUUUUAACGAAAACAGAA